UAUUUAAGAUGGCCUCCACCGUUCUCCCCCUCCCCCUGUGUAUACACCCCGCAUAAUCUCCUCUUCUUGAGUGUGGGUGGACCAGUGAGUUUAGGUUACUCAUCAACUGACUCUGAGUUACUGAAAAGGGAAAACAUCCUGGGUGGGCCUGACCUAAUCAGGUCCAACACUUUAGAAGAAGAACAUUUUAGAAGAAGGGCAAGGGCCAAAGAGAUAGUAUCCUGCUGGACUCAAGGAAUAUAAUAAACUGUCGUGCUGUGAGAAGAGGGAAACACAUGGAAGGAACCACAGGCGGCCUCUAGAAGCUGCAAGCUGUCCCUUGGUCGUAUGGAUACCACAAAAUGAACUCUGUUGACAAGCAGUGAACUUGAAAGGAGACCCCAGCCCACACCUUGAUUUCAGCCUGACUGAGACCCUGAGCAGGGGACCCAGAAUUUUAAAAUAAUGGAAUCUCCUCUGACUAAAGGAACCUCUUCUUCGUCUUCUCCAUUACUGAGCUGCUGAUGUCUCACAUGAUCCUUCCAAACCUGGUUACCUAGUUUCUUAGCCCACAGAAGAUUAGAAACAACUAAUUCGAAGGAGAUGGAGGAGACUCUAGAAAGCGACGUGAUGGCUGGUAACAAAGAAGACAGAAAAAGAACCAGGCUCAUGGAGGCAAAAAUUGUAGUCCCUGCAGACCGUUUGGGGUUUGAUUAGGUGGCCCUGCAUGUAGCAGUGAUCUCCGUUACCCUGGAAAUCGUGUCCCUCACUACGUCUUUGAGUCGUGGAGUUUACUUUGCGUUCAGUGUUUUCCAUUUUAGGAGAGGUAGAUAUAUAACACACUUUGGGAGAGUCCUGGAUAAUGGAAGUAAUACGGUAAAACAAGAAUAGGACAGGGUUUGAAGUAGAACAGGUUUUGUUUUUGUUUUUGUUUUUUUUGUUUUUUUUUGUUUUUUUGCUUCCUGCAGUUUAAUUGAGGUCUAUACCCAGAGAGGGGAAAC